AUUGAACGCUGGCGGCAUGCCUUACACAUGCCAGUCGAACGGCAGCACGGGUGCUUGCCCCUGGUGGCGAGUGGCGAACGGGUGAGUAAUACAUCGGAACAUGUCCUGUAGUGGGGGAUAGCCCGGCGAAAGCCGGAUUAAUACCGCAUACGAUCUACGGAUGAAAGCGGGGGACCUUCGGGCCUCGCGCUAUAGGGUUGGCCGAUGGCUGAUUAGCUAGUUGGUGGGGUAAAGGCCUACCAAGGCGACGAUCAGUAGAUGGUCUGAGAGGACGACCAGCCACACUGGGACUGAGACACGGCCCAGACUCCUACGGGAGGCAGCAGUGGGGAAUUUUGGACAAUGGGCGAAAGCCUGAUCCAGCAAUGCCGCGUGUGUGAAGAAGGCCUUCGGGUUGUAAAGCACUUUUGUCCGGAAAGAAAUCCUUGGCUCUAAUACAGUCGGGGGAUGACGGUACCGGAAGAAUAAGCACCGGCUAACUACGUG
rnacentral:rRNA from 1 species